rnacentral:rRNA from 1 species
AGCGAACAUUGGCGGUAGGCUUAACACAUGCAAGUCGAGCGAGGCGUAAUAGUCGAGCGGCGAACGGGUGCGUAAUACAUGGGAAUCUACCUCGAAGUGGGGGAUAACGUUCAGAAAUGGACGCUAAUACCGCAUAAUCCAUAUUGGGAAAGCGUAGCAGCGCUUUGAGAUGAGCCCAUGGCUUAUUAGCUAGUUGGUGAGGUAAUGGCUCACCAAGGCGACGAUCAGUAGCUGGUCUGAGAGGAUGACCAGCCACACUGGAACUGAGAUACGGUCCAGACUCCUACGGGAGGCAGCAGUGGGGAAUCUUGCGCAAUGGGGGCAACCCUGACGCAGCCAUACCGCGUGAGUGAUGAAGGUCUUCGGAUUGUAAAGCUCUUUCGGCGGGGACGACGAUGACGGUACCCGCAAAAGAAGUCACGGCUAACUUCGUGCCAGCAGCCGCAGUAA